rnacentral:lncRNA from 1 species
UGUAGGCAUAAGGUCUUUUCCUGCUUGCCUUUUUAUUAACAGGGUGGACACUCUCAGACACUGGUGGAAGCCUGACUCCAUGUGCAAGAAGGAACUUACCGUUUAAUCCCAUUAGUAUCUCCACUGAGCCUUUCUCAGCAGCUGCUACCAUAACUUCUGCCGAUAGGGCUGUGACCCCAUGGCUAAUGAAUUUCUGUCUCUUUCCACAUCAUUUCACAGAAGAAGAAGAAAAAAAAGAUGAUUCAUCCUUACUGGACCUGUUUUCCUUGAUGGAAGCAGACAUGACCCACCAGCCGCUAACGUUAGCUGGCUGUUCACACUCAUCAUCUUUAAAGCCUGCCAAGGUGACAAGAGAAAGUGAGAAUGUAAUUCCUGAAAGUAACCCUUAUCCCCAAGUUGUGUCCUGGAUGCUGGGCCGUUUAAUGAGACAUUGCUGCUGAGUCACAAGGAGAAGACAUGCCCCUUGCCCACCCUUCAGCCUUACAGGAGCCGUGACUGGACAUCUGUUCCUGUCACCUUGGGGUUCCUCCCAGCGCUUUCUCCUGCAAACACCUCGAGUGUGACACCUGGCUUCUCUGCACUGGCUCCCAUGGAACAAGUUCACCAACCUUGAUCUACUGAUGUGCCAUCUACCCGGAAGCAUAUUCUUUGGCCAUGAAGUUUGCGGAGGAGCACCUAUAUCUCCUGGACCCAGCAUCUUACUUUUCUUCCCUCUCUCCUCUUUUUGGCUUAAACUCUUCCAUUCCCAGCCCACACUUUCCUCCACAGAUCUAACCUUCCAAUAAAC